CAGCUCUUGACAUGUCCCGUAUGAGUACCAGAGAUGGAACUCUUCAGUUCGGCUGGCGGGAACACAGGUGCUGCAUGGCUGUCGUCAGCUCGUGUCGUGAGAUGUUGGGUUAAGUCCCGCAACGAGCGCAACCCUCGCCCUUAGUUGCCAUCAUUUAGUUGGGCACUCUAAGGGGACUGCCGGUGAUAAGCCGCGAGGAAGGUGGGGAUGACGUCAAGUCCUCAUGGCCCUUACGGGCUGGGCUACACACGUGCUACAAUGGCGGUGACAAUGGGAUGCAGAGGGGUAACCCCGAGCAAAUCUCAAAAAGCCGUCUCAGUUCGGAUUGUGCUCUGCAACUCGAGCACAUGAAGUUGGAAUCGCUAGUAAUCGCAGAUCAGCACGCUGCGGUGAAUACGUUCCC
rnacentral:rRNA from 1 species